rnacentral:rRNA from 1 species
AUAGCGUAUAUUAAAGUUGUUGCGGUUAAAACGCUCGUAGUUGGAUCUGCGGCCGCGGAGAACGGUCCCCCGAAAGGGCGGUCACUGUCUCUCCUAGCCUAAAUUCGAGUCGUCUCUAGGUGCUCUUUACCGAGUGUCUAGAGUGACUAGAACGUUUACUUUGAAAAAAUUAGAGUGCUUAAAGCAGGCGAAAUAGCCUGAAUAAGGUGCAUGGAAUAAUGUAAUAGGACCUCGGUUCUAUUUUGUUGGUUUUCGGAGCCCGAUGUAAUGAUUAAGAGGAACAGACGGGGGCAUUCGUAUUCCGGCGCUAGAGGUGAAAUUCUUGGACCGCCGGAAGACGGACGACUG